UACCGAGGCGUCCUUGGCGCGAGCUGUUUGUGUGGUGUCUUCACCGCCGCCCGCCCCCUGCUCCAGUCCUCGUAGCCUUCCCGGCCCGCCGUUCAGUCAAAACCCGGACUGGAUUUAUUUCCCGACCCACGCUCUCUGAAAAUCUGCCCGCUUCCUAGCAGUUGGCCGGGACACGGAGGCCGCCGUUGCCCCUGGGGCCCACGACUCCCUCUGGUGGGGAGAGCGUAGGCUCAGCCAGGAAGAAGGUGUUGGGUUAAGAGAUUGGCUGAGAGUGGUUCUCUGAUCGAUGGCGACCGCACGGGAGCUUCAGUGGAGUCCAGAAAGGCUAACACAGUCGGAACAUCACAAGUUCAAGGCCAGCCUACUGGACUACAGGGGUGGUCCUGACUACACCUAUUCAAGCAUGAACAAAGCAAAACAAGAAGUGUGCAUAUGUUUACAUCAAAACAGACUUAAGAAACCACGGAACACAGUGUGAAACUAAAAUUGGAACACGCAGUGAGCCAGGUUUCCUUCCUCUGAAAGUGUUUCCUUCUGCUUCUGUUCUGUUGUGCCUUUGGUGCUGAUCCACAGGGACGAGGUCGGCUUAGAGCAAGUGCUACUCCUGCUCUGUAACCGCUGACAACUUGCCAUCUCUUGUCUGGGUUCCCGUGAUCCACAACUUCUGGGAACCUCAGGAAUGAUCUCAGUUGAUGACUGUCACCACUCCGUAUGAAGACUCGAUGAAGGGUAAAAGCGUGGCUCGUCUCACAGCUUUCUACGACAGCCUGACUCAAACUCACAGUUUCACAUGACAGUUUCUUCUUGUUUUCAUACGGGACCUUUCUGGUGCAGUGAGCCCUACUCAUGGCAGAGCCAAGCCAGAAGGUAGACCAUUUUGGGGAAACUCAGGCGCGGACGGUGCUGAGCCGGAGAGCGGAAGGACUAGAACAGUGACACAGUGACAUGGCAAUCAUCGUGCUGUGCGAGGCAGUGACAGUGGCUGUGGCCCCACAGGGGGUCGUCAUCCUCACAGAGGACAUCACGCACAGGAGUUGCUGAUCCUAUGGCAUCUCUUCACAGCAACAGAAACCCUAAGUAAGACAUCCCUCUUAAACUGACAGCAGCCGUAAUUACCUGGAGGAGACAAGGACAAAAUUGAGCCCCGGAACAUUCCUGAGGCCCUGCUCCUUCCACCUCCCACCUGGACACCCGAAGAUGCAUAAACUGUUAGUGGUGGAUGGUGGAAAGAGAUGCUUAGGUGGUGCAGCUACUCACAAAUUGUCCAUGAUCCUAUAAGUAAUCAACCAUGCUCUUGUAGGAAGCCCCGAUAGACUCCUUGGUCUGUUGUUGAUGCCCUCACUGGGGAGAGCUGACCUUUUGUUAGUAUGGCUGCAUGGUGGCACAAGCCUAUAGUCCUAGCACUUCUGGCAGAGAGAGCCAAGUGGAUUAAGAGUUGAAAGUUAAUGUUGAGGUCCAUGAUCCGUGCUGCCACCGAAGGCCGUGUGGAUGUCUGUGAUCAGGGCUGCAGCCGGUAGCCAUGUUGAUGUCUGUGGUCUGUGCAGCCGCUGGAAGCCAUGCUGAGGCCUGGAUUCUGUGCUGCCGCCAGCAGCUAUGGGCAGGGAAGCUUCUUUUGCAGUGGUGUUGAUGACUCGGACUCAUAACUGAGAAUGAGAGACGCUGAAGGCUGCUGUGACAAUCCCCUCAACCA